rnacentral:misc_RNA from 1 species
GCCUAUGUCGUCUGCUAAUUAAAUCGUCAAUGUAUUAGAUUUAUCUUGACAAAUCUGGCCUUUUUUGUUGCUGAUAAAAAGCACUGUACGUUACCAGAUCAUGCAUUCAAUAAUGAUUUGUCAAUUUAUCAUAUGCACGAGAUUGUAUGGAAACCUAGCUCGUAUUGGAAAAUAAAGUACCUUAAUAUG